GGAAAAGCUAGACUUGAAAUUAGUCUUCUCUUCUUUUGUCUUAUUUUUACUUGUUAAAAAGAGAUUUUUUUUUCUGAAUCCUGAAAUUCCCUCUAACUCUAGAGGGAAAUUCAAAACGGAAUUCAAAAGCACAUAAAGGAGCACCAGACAAGGUUCCCUAAAGAACAUUUUCUUAGGGCUUGUCUUUACUACCGGGAGAUCGACACUUCUACAAUCGAUGCAGCGGGUGACGAUUUCGCGGGUCUAAUGAAAACCCACUAAAUCGAUGGCAGAGCACUCUCUGGUUGACUCUGGUACUCCAGCUCCUCGGGAACAGUAAGGUGUAGAAGAGGAGCCAUAUGUGGAUUCCCUCUGAUGAUAUUUUUCCAGAAGACCUUGUCUUGGAUCCUGCAAGUCAAUGGAACUAUUGAGAUUGCUUCAGUCUGUGAUAUCAGCAAUAAUCACCAUGGUAUUGUUGCCUAGCCAUUCUUGAAGAAUCAGAAGUGGACUGUAAUUGAAGACUUCAUUACCAAGAUCAGUUGGCUGCCUGAUUACAAUGGCAAGGUGAAAUAUAUAUCCUCACCAAAAAGCAAACUGCUAAACCUUUAGAGAAGUCACCCACUUUUCACUCUUUUUCAUUAGAACCCCGACAAGCUUGUCAGCAAAAUUAAAGGUGGUAAAAUACUGGCUGCCAUGAACUUCAUGUAAGAAAUAAAAAUUACCCACUUUUGGGGGCUGCUUGAUAGAAAACUGCCAGCUCGUAGCAUCACUGCUGCUGUAAUCACUGCAAGGAUAAUAGGACAUACAUGCUUUUGUGGAUAAUUUUGUUUGCUAAUUGCUCAUGAAAUUUCAGGGAUUGUUUUAGGUCUUUGUGACAUGAUUGACACUGAGCUGAGAAGGAGGACAUGCACACUUCAGUCUAAUAAUGUGUGACAGGAGAGACGCAAAGAAGACAGGAAGAAGGGGAUAAAGUGUGGAUGGGGAGGACUGCCGGCAUCUGCAGCUAUCAGAAUGGGCCAAAUGGAGUGGUGAUCAGCUGGUGUCAUGCAGAGCAGCCUGAAGGGAGUGGCGACCAAAGAGCACUGAAGAUAGAUCCUCCUGAGAAUGAAGGUCUGGCAAGUCAGAGAGGAUUAGUGAAGUACCUGCACAUGUGUCAUUAGGGGACAGGAAGAAAAAUGUGAGGGGAAAAACGUACAAAAAAGGUUUUAAAAAACCACUUAUGAAGUGGCUGCCCAGCUCUGUGCAGCCAGAAGGGGCACGGUCAGGAAAGGGUGAAGAAGUUGGAGAACAGCCACUCAGCAUGGCAGGCUCUGUCAGGGCAAUUGUCAAAAAUGUCCAAGUGCUUCCAGAACGUGGUUUUGUGUAUCUGCAACAAUGACAAUGCAUGUAAAAGUGGAAUCUCAUCCAUUUGUUGGGCUGGCUGCCAGACUAGCAGCACAAACAUGUGGCUGGAGAAAAGAUCCUGUUAAUAUUCAUCUGAUAACUGAGUUGUUGAGAGAGUGGGAAAAUUAGGCUAUAUUCUUUUAGGACAGUUAAACCACAUGUGGCUAAAACUCAAGGAAGACCGCUAAACAAUGAGAGAGGACAUACUUCUCCCCAUAUCCCCCACACACAUUCACACACAACCGAUGACAGUUUUGGGGGCUUCUGAUUUUCAUAAAGUGUUAUCUGCUGAAAAAUAAUUUCUACAGCUGAGCUACCUCCCUGACUCCUGGACCUUUCCUCUCUGCAGCUUUAUUGUCAAGGCAUUCAGAUACCAUAGAGAUGAGUGUAGAUAGAAUGUAGAUAGACAGACUCACAGUCCAUGGAUCUAUUGACGGCACUGUUCCCUCUAAGCUGUGCGCGUGGGCAUGUGCACACAGAUCCUAAAUCCUGCGCACAUGGCGAAACACCCCGCGCACAAAAAUUUGCACAGAAGUACAACAAUUUGCGCAGAAGAAAUUUUUGCGCACACGGCCUGUCAAAAAUUAGAGGGACCAUUGAUUGAUGGACAACCACUUUAAACAGGAAAAAAGGGGGGAGGGUAGAUAUGCCAUGUUAAAGAUACAAAAGAUAAAAAUUCAUGGAUGUACUUGAAAUUCCACCAUCCUUGGCUGUUUGGAAGAGGGAUGGAUAGCCAUAAUCUGGACUGUAGCUUAUUUGGGGCAAGAGAAUGUGUUUCCUAGUUUCCAGUCAAUGGGUAAGUCACUUGAAAUAAUAAUAAGCAUCAUGUGUAAAUAAUAACAAUAAUAAUAACACCCAGCCUGACAACAGACUUCUUCCAGGCCAGUCUGAUGCUACUCUAAAACCAACCACAACAUAGAGUGAAAAUAAAAAUACUAUGCACAUACAAUAGCUACUUAUAAUGAUCUCAAAGGACUUUACAAGCAUUCCUUAAUCUACCCAACCAAAACGUUAUACAGCAGGUGGGUAUCAUUGUGUCCAUUUUAUUGAUGGGGAACAGACACCUUAAGGUUAUAUACAGUUAGCCAGGUACAAUGCCUAACCUCAGGCUUUAGACCAAUGAGUGAAAGGAGAUAAGGGGGCUCACUUUGAUCCUGAGGACUGUGUCCAAAAUCUCGGGAUUUUUUGGUGGUACUGUAACAGAGUGUCACAGUGUACCACUUCCUGAGGUUUUGCAACAGGAAGGGUGAUGCUGAAUAGAAAAGAAGAGCAACAGCAAAAUGAAUCCUAUCUUGCAGAUUGCAAAGAAGGUUUCAGAGGAACAGCCGUGUUAGUCUGUAUUCGCAAAAAGAAAAGGAGGAUUUGUGGCACCUUAGAGAC